GAUCGACGUAGUAGAAGUUCGCGACCUCCACAUAUGUCAAACAGUUUAUAUACUCGUAGCGGGAAAUUCUGAGCACAGUUAUCCACUGAGCCUGCAUUAUGAAGAUCUUCGGUUUGUUUAUGUUGGUGUUGUGCGCCUUGCUGGGAUACGCCAUGGCUACCGCUGUUCCCGCGGCAGAGACCCUAGAAGGACAAGAGUCGAGGUGGGGUCACGGUGGUGGUCACCACCACGGCGGCGGUGGUCACCACCACGGGGGCGGUGGUCACCACCACGGAGGCGGUCACCACCACGGAGGCUACCGUGGCUAGAUGAAGCUAAUACCGCGCCUUAUUGCUAACUAAUUAUAUACCUAAUGUUAUAUUGUACUGUAAAUUAUUAAAAUAAAUAUUUUGUGUUAAUAAA